CUGUCACGAGAGCGGGAGAGAGAGAGAGAGAGAGAGUCGCUGGGCCACCAACAGGCCAGGAUACAAUCACUCGUUGCUUUCACUCUCUCUCUCUCUCUCUCUCUCUCUCUCAGUCUCCUGUGCU
rnacentral:miRNA from 1 species